ACAGGUGGACAUCUACCCGGAGAAGAACGCCGGUCCCGGCGGUGAGUUAGACACCAACGACAUCGGGUACAUCGACACUGAGGUGAACGGCCAGGACAUGGCCAAUGACUUGGAGUAGACCCGGAGGACCCCGGAAUGGCGAUGGUCCCACCGCAUCCUGCGUGUGCCGAGCACCAUCCUGGCCUUCCAGCCGUGACUGCAGAUCAG